rnacentral:rRNA from 1 species
AAUUAAAUUUAUAGUUUAAAGAGAAUGUAAUUAAAAAAAUUAUUUAUUUGAAAGCUGUGAAGGGGGGGGAACUUUAUAGUUAUAAAAUAAAUAAAAGAUUUUUACAUUGUACCUUUGGUAUCAGGGUUAAUUUAAUUUAAUCUUUAGGGAUGAUUCUCGAAGAGAGAAGAUUUAGGCUUAUACAAUUUUUUAUUUAGUGUUUCAUAAUUAAUUUUUAUAUUAGCCUGGAUUCGAAAAGAAUUUAGAUUCUCUAUAUCUAGUUACUUUAUUUUUUAAUUCAAUUAAAUUAAUUUAAGUAAAAUAUUAUUUNNNNNNNNNNNNNNNNNNNNGGAUAAUCUUGCAGUAAGUUAAAUAGUUAGGGGAGGAACUAUUUAGUUUAUUUGCUUAGAAUUUACAAAUUUAUUAAUAUGUAAUAAUUAAUUAAAUUAUAUUUAAUGUUUUAUGAGGAACUUUAACUUGGGGAAUUAAAGUUGCUUAUGAAAUAAUAAUUAAAUUAAGAUAAUAAUGAUUAAAUUAGUAGAAUAAAAAAAUUGUAAGUAAGAAUUCGGCAAAUAGAAUUUUUGACUGUUUAUCAAAAACAUUUCUGUAAGAGAUAUAUUUUUGGUAUAACCUGCUCCAUGCUUAUUAGUAAAUAGCUGCAGUAUUUUAACUGUACAAAGGUAGCAUAAUCACUAGUCUUUUAAUUGAAGGCUUGUAUGAAUGGUUGAACAUGAAAUAAUCUUUUUUAUUAUUAUGAUAUUUGAAUUUUAUUUUUGAGUUAAAAAGCUUAAGUAAUUAAAAGGGACGAGGAGACCCUAUAGAAUUUUAAAAUAAAGUUGAAAGACAUUUUUUGGUUGGGGUGACUAGAAAAUUAACGUUUCUUUUAAUUUCAUUGAUGGAUGAAUCAAGGAUCCUUUAAUUUAAGAUAAAAAGAUAAAAUUACCUUAGGGAUAACAGCAUAAUUUUUCUUAAAAGGUCUUAUUAAUAGAAGAGAUUAUGACCUCGAUGUUGAAUUAAGAUAGUAUUUAGAUGAAGAAAUUUAAAUAUUGAGUCUGUUCGACUUUAAUAUUUUACAUGAUUUGAGUUCAGACCGGCGUGAGCCAGGUUGGUUUCUAUCUUUUUAUUUUUUUAUUUAUUUUAGUACGAAAGGAUUGAUUAAUCCAAUAUUUAUUGUAAAACUAGUGUAACUAAACAGCUUCUUUGUCUA